UGCAAGCCGAGCGGUAUUGUUUCUUCGGAAAUGAGAGAGCGGCGUACGGGUGCGGAACACGUGUGCAACCUGCCUUUAUCUGGAGGAUAGCCUUUCGAAAGGAAGAUUAAUACUCCAUAAUAUAUUGAUUGGCAUCAAUUAAUAUUGAAAGCUCCGGCGGAUAGAGAUGGGCACGCGCAAGAUUAGCUAGUUGGUGAGGUAACGGCUCACCAAGGCGAUGAUCUUUAGGGGGCCUGAGAGGGUGAUCCCCCACACUGGUACUGAGACACGGACCAGACUCCUACGGGAGGCAGCAGUGAGGAAUAUUGGUCAAUGGGUGCAAGCCUGAACCAGCCAUCCCGCGUGAAGGACGACUGCCCUAUGGGUUGUAAACUUCUUUUGUAUAGGGAUAAACCUACCCUCGUGAGGGUAGCUGAAGGUACUAUACGAAUAAGCACCGGCUAACUCCGUGCCAGC
rnacentral:rRNA from 1 species